rnacentral:rRNA from 1 species
GAUGAACGCUGGCGGCGUGCCUAAUACAUGCAAGUCGAGCGAACAGACGAGGAGCUUGCUCCUUUGACGUUAGCGGCGGACGGGUGAGUAACACGUGGGUAACCUACCUAUAAGACUGGGAUAACUUCGGGAAACCGGAGCUAAUACCGGAUAAUAUUUCGAACCGCAUGGUUCGAUAGUGAAAGAUGGCUUUUCUAUCACUUAUAGAUGGACCUGCGCCGUAUUAGCUAGUUGGUAAGGUAACGGCUUACCAAGGCAACGAUACGUAGCCGACCUGAGAGGGUGAUCGGCCACAAUGGAACGGAGACACGGUCCAGACGACUACGGGAGGAAGCAGUAGGGAAUCUUACGGAAUGGGGGGAAGCCUGACGGAGCAACGCCGCGUGAGUGAUGAAGGUCUUCGGAUCGUAAAACUCUGUUAUUAGGGAAGAACAAACGUGUAAGUAACUGUGCACGUCUUGACGGUACCUAAUCAGAAAGCCACGGCUAACUACGUG